AGGUGCGAUCAUAGCAGCACUAAUGCACGGGAUUCCAUCAAACUCCGCAGUUAAGCAUGUUUGAGCGAGAAUAGUUCUAAGAUGGGCUUGUCUCAUGACUU
rnacentral:rRNA from 1 species